rnacentral:rRNA from 1 species
CACGCCCUAAACGAUGUCAACUGGUUGUUGGGAAUUUACUUUCUCAGUAACGAAGCUAACGCGUGAAGUUGACCGCCUGGGGAGUACGGCCGCAAGGCUAAAACUCAAAGGAAUUGACGGGGACCCGCACAAGCGGUGGAUGAUGUGGUUUAAUUCGAUGCAACGCGAAAAACCUUACCCACCUUUGACAUGUACGGAACUUGCCAGAGAUGGCUUGGUGCCCGAAAGAGAGCCGUAACACAGGUGC